AAGAAAAAAAAUAGAAUUAAGAAGCUCAACAUAGUUUUAUGUAAGAAGUACGUCAGUGCUACACCAGUCGACUACAUAUUUUAUCUGACUGACUCAGACUAUCAAAGACAAAGAAGCCUUUGUUUUGAUGAUAGAAAUGGAUACAGAAUGUACCCAAAAAGAUCUUGCAUUUUUUUUAAAGGCUCAACAGCUGCACUUGUCUCAUGCUGACUGGGCAAGAGUGUGGGCGUAUCAGUAGGUUGAGUUUAUUUUUAAAAUUCUAGGCCAGGGGUGGGCAAUAGUGUGCCAUGAAGGGCCAAGAUGGGGCAGGAUUUCCUUGCAAUCUUUAUUGAUG